UGGUCGGGAUAGCUCAGUU
rnacentral:tRNA from 2 species